rnacentral:rRNA from 1 species
CAUGUCCAAGGACGAACGCUGGCGGCGUGCCUAAUACAUGCAAGUAGAACGCUGAAGGAGGAGCUUGCUCUUCUGGAUGAGUUGCGAACGGGUGAGUAACGCGUAGGUAACCUGCCUGGUAGCGGGGGAUAACUAUUGGAAACGAUAGCUAAUACCGCAUAAGAGUAGAUGUUGCAUGACAUUUGCUUAAAAGGUGCAAUUGCAUCACUACCAGAUGGACCUGCGUUGUAUUAGCUGGUUGGUGGGGUAACGGCUCACCAAGGGGACGAUACAUAGCCGACCUGAGAGGGUGCUCGGCCACACUGGGACUGAGACACGGCCCAGACUCCUGCGG